rnacentral:rRNA from 1 species
CAGUCGCCACGGGAAUACGAAGGGUGCAAGCGUUACUCGGAAUUACUGGGCGUAAAGCGUGCGUAGGUGGUGGUUUAAGUCCGUUGUGAAAGCCCUGGGCUCAACCUGGGAAUUGCAGUGGAUACUGGGUCACUAGAGUGUGGUAGAGGAUAGUGGAAUUUCCGGUGUAGCAGUGAAAUGCGUAGAGAUCGGAAGGAACAUCUGUGGCGAAGGCGACUAUCUGGGCCAACACUGACACUGAGGCACGAAAGCGUGGGGAGCAAACAGGAUUUGAUACCCCAGUAGUCCCUGUCUCUUAUAC